rnacentral:rRNA from 1 species
GCAAGUCGUGCGGUAACACUUCGGGUGACGAGCGGCGGACGGGUGCGUAACGCGUGAGAAUCUACCUUUUAGUGGGGGACAACUCGGGGAAACUCGGGCUAAUACCGCAUAUGUCCUACGGGAUAAAGCAGGGGACCUUCGGGCCUUGCGCUAAAAGAUGAGCUCGCGUGAGAUUAGCUUGUUGGUGAGGUAAAGGCUCACCAAGGCAACGAUCUCUAGCUGGUCUGAGAGGAUGAUCAGCCACACUGGGACUGAGACACGGCCCAGACUCCUACGGGAGGCAGCAGUGGGGAAUAUCGGACAAUGGGGGCAACCCUGAUCCAGCAAUUCCGCGUGUGUGAAGAAGGCCUGCGGGUUGUAAAGCACUUUCAGUAGCCAAGAUGGGAUUAUUCAUUAAUACUGGAUAGUCUUGACAUUAACUACAGAAGAAGCACCGGCUAACUCCGUGCCAGCAGCCGCGGUAAUACGGAGGGCGCAAGCGUUAAUCGGAAUUACUGGGCGUAAAGAGUACGUAGGCGGCUUUACAAGUCGGGUGUGAAAGCCCUGAGCUUAACUCAGGAACUGCAUUCGAUACUGUAUCGCUAGAGUUUAUUAGAGGAUAGCGGAAUUCCAGGUGUAGCGGUGAAAUGCGUAGAUAUCUGGAGGAACACCAAUGGCGAAGGCAGCUAUCUGGCAUACAACUGACGCUGAGGUACGAAAGCGUGGGGAGCAAACAGGAUUAGAUACCCUGUUAGUCCACGCCGUAAACGAUGAGAAACUAACGUUGGGGUAUU